GACGAACGCUGGCGGCGUGCUUAACACAUGCAAGUCGAACGGUAAGGCUCCAGCUUGCUGGGGUACACGAGUGGCGAACGGGUGAGUAACACGUGGGUGACCUGCCCUGCACUUCGGGAUAAGCCUGGGAAACUGGGUCUAAUACCGGAUAGGACCGCACCGUGAGGGUGUGGUGGAAAGUUUUUUCGGUGUGGGAUGGGCCCGCGGCCUAUCAGCUUGUUGGUGGGGUAAUGGCCUACCAAGGCGGCGACGGGUAGCCGGCCUGAGAGGGUGGACGGCCACAUUGGGACUGAGACACGGCCCAGACUCCUACGGGAGGCAGCAGUGGGGAAUAUUGCACAAUGGGCGGAAGCCUGAUGCAGCGACGCCGCGUGGGGGAUGACGGCCUUCGGGUUGUAAACUCCUUUCACCAUCGACGAAGGGUUUCUGACGGUAGAUGGAGAAGAAGCACCGGCUAACUACGUGCCAGCAGCCGCGGUAAUACGUAGGGUGCGAGCGUUGUCCGGAAUUACUGGGCGUAAAGAGCUCGUAGGUGGUUUGUCGCGUCGUCUGUGAAAUUCCGGGGCUUAACUCCGGGCGUGCAGGCGAUACGGGCAUAACUUGAGUACUGUAGGGGAGACUGGAAUUCCUGGUGUAGCGGUGAAAUGCGCAGAUAUCAGGAGGAACACCGGUGGCGAAGGCGGGUCUCUGGGCAGUAACUGACGCUGAGGAGCGAAAGCAUGGGGAGCGAACAGGAUUAGACACCCUGGUAGUCCAUGCCGUAAACGGUGGGCGCUAGGUGUGGGUUUCCUUCCACGGGAUCCGUGCCGUAGCUAACGCAUUAAGCGCCCCGCCUGGGGAGUACGGCCGCAAGGCUAAAACUCAAAGGAAUUGACGGGGGCCCGCACAAGCGGCGGAGCAUGUGGAUUAAUUCGAUGCAACGCGAAGAACCUUACCUGGGCUUGACAUAUACAGGAUCGCGCCAGAGAUGGUGUUUCCCUUGUGGCUUGUAUACAGGUGGUGCAUGGUUGUCGUCAGCUCGUGUCGUGAGAUGUUGGGUUAAGUCCCGCAACGAGCGCAACCCUUGUCUUAUGUUGCCAGCACGUUGUGGUGGGGACUCGUAAGAAACUGCCGGGGUUAACUCGGAGGAAGGUGGGGAUGACGUCAAAUCAUCAUGCCCCUUAUGCCCAGGGCUUCACACAUGCUACAAUGGUCGGUACAGUGGGUUGCCAGUCCGUGAGGGCGAGCUAAUCCCGCAAAGCCGGUCUCAGUUCGGAUCGGGGUCUGCAACUCGACCCCGUGAAGUCGGAGUCGCUAGUAAUCGCAGAUCAGCAACGCUGCGGUGAAUACGUUCCCGGGCCU
rnacentral:rRNA from 1 species